GCCAACUGUUAUACUUAGGAAGGCUCCAUGGAAGAGGGAUUUGAUCUAUGCCUUGGAGGAAAAGCAGAAUACCAGUAGUCAGAAGGUGAAGGAAGAGAAAAGUACACUAGAUCUAAAUAACAAAUAGAAACCUCUACAUAUUCAGAGAUAUGGAGUAUUCACUUUGCUUGUCAAUCAGUAGAGAUAGGAGCAGAUAGAACUGAGAAGCUGGAUCAGAUCAAAUAUAUUAGCCUGCAGUGGGGGAAAGGAGACAAUGGAUGGGAGACAGUUGCAACAAAGACAAAAUCAACUAGAAAAUUGGAGCUUUCAGCACCACUUUCCCCAGAUUUGGGAUGGUGAGAUGGAGGAAGAAGGGUGCCUGGAGAUUGAUUGAGGGACCUAAGGGAAGGCCAUUGGAAGAAGUUCAGCUGAGAACUUCCUGAAUAUGCAAGAAAGGAUUCAACCAGCACUGUUUGCAUUUCUGCUCUCCUCCUGCAUCAGCAACAGUGGAAAGCUGUCAUCUUUACUGAGGAUAAUACUACAGGGACUGGAAUUUACUGAAUUUGUUUCUCUGCCUUGUACCUCCGUUUUUGAUGUUCUCCAAGGUUCCAUCUCCUGCCCACACUCAUCAGAAUAACACAAUUUUAUAUGAACUUUUUUCUAAGUUAGAAAGUCCAGGUAUAAACAUGGCUCAGAAAUUUACCUCCACGACCUUGGGGAAGGGACUGACUUGUCUAAUUUUCUGCAUACUCUUCUGGAAAAUGGAAACCAGAGUUCACUACCCAGAUGCUGGGGCAAAGACCCCUUCCAAGACAUCCACAAAUUCAGCAAAGCUAUUCAGCCAUAGGUAACUCAGAAAUGGCAGUUCCUUGUUCUCUUUACAGACUGGAGUAGAUUUUUAUACACUGCUUUUGCAAAGUAGACUUUUUCCACACAGAUUUUCUCCAUUCUUUCUUGGAUUAAGAAUGAUUUGUAGUCUAGAAGAGCUUGGUGCUCUGAUUUAAAGAAAUGUGACCAUCAACACAGCUUGCAGUGCAUCCUUCCUUGCUCAGUCACCUUGAAGCUAAUUUUGUAAACUGGACAAAACUAGAAAGUAUAAGACACAUGUCACAUAUUUUUCUUUCUGCAGAGCCAAAGUGUUGGACAAAUGCCUAGAUCCCGUUGGCCUGAGCCAAAUAAGUUUUUUGACCUGUGAAGAUUGGCUUCUGAGGGAAGAAAAGUUCAGGAAGUGGACUCAUUCAUCAGCAUGUCCAGAUGCUUUGAGUGAGAAAUGCAAACCUCCUUAUUUCUUUGGCAGAAUUGAAGGUUUAUGCUCCCCAGAGUCUAUCUGCUGCUUCUCAAGUAUAGCUUUGCGAUUUUACAAAUGAAAAUAUCUGAAAAGGCAAAGCUCAAAAAUUCUUUCCUGGUCUGUUUAUACAUUAUGAUCUUCUUAAGAAAAAUAUUUACAGGAAUGAAAUUUCCAGCGUUUAAGAUUGUUUAAUAGAAGACAUUUAGAUCACCAAUCGCUUCAACUCUGCAAGGGAGAAUCAUGUGCUGCUCUUCCUUUCAACUGUGUCUUUUCUAGUAAGUGAACUCUGAUAUGGGCAACGCUGCAGUUUAUAAAUAUGUGGAAACUGAAAUGAAUUGCUAAAAAUUUUGCACCAUUGACAUAUAAGUAAUUUGACAUAUGUUAAC